CCCUCCCCUCUCCCAUCGCAGCCCUCUCCCUAAGAAAUUUGUUUUGAGGGAUUUGACAAUCUUGCAGAUAAAGUGCCUGCCUCCUGCACUCGGUUGAUCAUUUUCCCUCAUGGCUGACCGUAAUUUCUUUGCUACUCUUAGCGGCAGCUCUGUCCCUGCUGCCCAAGUCGAACAAAGUGCCAGUGGUGCAGCACCCUCACCAUGUCCACCCCCUCACGCCUCUUAUCACGUACAGCAAUGAACACUUCACGCCGGGAAACCCACCUCCACACUUACCAGCCGACGUAGACCCCAAAACAGGAAUCCCACGGCCUCCGCACCCUCCAGAUAUAUCCCCGUAUUACCCACUAUCGCCUGGCACCGUAGGACAAAUCCCCCAUCCGCUAGGAUGGUUAGUACCACAGCAAGGUCAACCAGUGUACCCAAUCACGACAGGAGGAUUCAGACACCCCUACCCCACAGCUCUGACCGUCAAUGCUUCCAUGUCCAGGUUCCCUCCCCAUAUGGUCCCACCACAUCAUACGCUACACACGACGGGCAUUCCGCAUCC
rnacentral:sRNA from 1 species